CCAUGAAGUGGAAUCUGAAGGAAUCCUUAGGCAAACUCCCAAGCUGCUGGACAUAAACUGUAUAUAAGACUGAAUAGGAAUGGACGAGUUUGCAAAGCAAAACAAAGUCCGAUACUUCACGAGUUCCAUAUUGUAAAUAAACAGUUCAUGAGAGGAAGGUUAUA
rnacentral:ncRNA from 1 species